rnacentral:rRNA from 1 species
GUUAGGAAUCUUCCACAAUGGGGGCAACCCUGAUGGAGCAACACCGCGUGCUGGAUGAAGGCCUUCGGGUCGUAAACAGCUUUUGUAUACGAAGAAUAUGACGGUAAUAUACGAAUAAGGGUCGGCUAACUACGUGCCAGCAGCCGCGGUCAUACGUAGGACCCAAGCGUUAUCCGGAGUGACUGGGCGUAAAGAGUUGCGUAGGCGGCUUAUUAAGCGAGUAGUGAAAUCUGGUGGCUCAACCAUCAACACAUUGCUCGAACUGAUAGGCUUGAGAAUGGCAGAGGUAGUUGGAAUUUCUUGUGUAGGAGUGAAAUCCGUAGAUAUAAGAAGGAACACCAAUGGCGUAGGCAGACUACUGGACCAUUUCUGACGCUGAGGCACGAAAGCGUGGGGAGCGAACCGGAUUAGAAACCCCUGUAGUCC